AUGCACGCUGGCGGCGUGCCUAAUACAUGCCCGUCGAGCGAACGGACGAGAAGCUUGCUUCUCUGAUGUUAGCGGCGGACGGGUGAGUAACACGUGGAUAACCUACCUAUAAGACUGGGAUAACUUCGGGAAACCGGAGCUAAUACCGGAUAAUAUUUUGAACCGCAUGGUUCAAAAGUGAAAGACGGUCUUGCUGUCACUUAUAGAUGGAUCCGCGCUGCAUUAGCUAGUUGGUAAGGUAACGGCUUACCAAGGCAACGAUGCAUAGCCGACCUGAGAGGGUGAUCGGCCACACUGGAACUGAGACACGGUCCAGACUCCUACGGGAGGCAGCAGUAGGGAAUCUUCCGCAAUGGGCGAAAGCCUGACGGAGCAACGCCGCGUGAGUGAUGAAGGUCUUCGGAUCGUAAAACUCUGUUAUUAGGGAAGAACAUAUGUGUAAGUAACUGUGCACAUCUUGACGGUACCUAAUCAGAAAGCCACGGCUAACUACGUG
rnacentral:rRNA from 1 species